UCUUAAUUUUUCAAUAUUACUUGAACGAUUGUUCCCAACAAUAAAAUUCAGAGCCCUGGCUCAAUGAUUUCAAGGAACUGGUAUAAUUCAUUAAAUUAAGCUUAAAAAACGAACAACAACAAAGUGAGAGGAAUCUGGUUUUUAAGGGCAUAGAACAUCUCAAACGCUUAGAUAUCCAAAGCCAACAAAAACAACUACUUUCGAGGUUAAUCAUGCCACUAGAACCGCCUGUUAUGAAUGUGGAUGCAACAGCAGCCACCUCCGAGUUUAUACAAUUUUUCGAUGUGGAAAAUAGUGAGUUCGAUGAUACUCUGGUGCUCACAUUGACCGAACAGGAAAUUCGUCUUUUUGCCGAUCUCUACGAUGAAGUGAAGUGUGAGAAUCGAAAUGAGCGGACAUCUACCAAGCAGGAGUAUAAGUGUAAACGAAGAAGAAUUCUUGGGAUAUAGCUAUAUGCAUAAUCUGAAGGAUAGACAUACACAUUAAUAUACCCGAAUACGCACACAUCUGCAGGCACACACACACACACUCUCUCUCACACACACACGCUCAUUUUGUAAAUUUAGGCAAACUAAAAUUAUGUUGCAUUUGUGAUCAUUAUAAAUUCACCAAAGAGAUCGAAAAACUCAUGUUUAGAUAAAGAUAAUAAAGAAGUCUAGGAACGUCCCCAGAAAUAUGUUCAAC